AACGGACAUUGAUAAAUUUGAUCAUUUGUAAAGAACAUAGAGAUGGUAUUUUUGACGUUCUCAUUCAAAAUUUGAUUGAAACGUUGAUUGUCGAGGGAGAAGUCAUGGAAAACUCGGCAAGAAAAUUAAUUGCGAAAAGAGAAUAUUUCUCUCUGUUGCCUAUUCUUCCCGUGCUCAAGUAUGUUAAAUCUGUGUUGCCUUUGUUCUCUCAAGCAUUACAGGGAGUUCGUACUCCAACUCAAGCAGCAAUCCCAAAUCUUUUUGUUAAUUUGGAGUCCGUGGUAG